rnacentral:tRNA from 1 species
UGGUGUGUAGCUCAGUGGCAGAGCGGCGGACUGUUGAUCCGAUGCGCGAGGGUUCGAAUCCUUCCACGCCAG